AUCUCGGUAUCAUCUGCAGAAUAUGGUAGUAAUGCAAAGGAGUCUGUAACAGACUAUACUACAACCUCUUCUUCUCUGCCUAACACUGUGGCUACUAAUAACACAAAGAUGGAGGAUACUUUGGUUAAUAAUGUGCCCCUGCCUAACACCCUUCCCUUCCCUAAGAGAGAGACUAUACAACAGAGCUCCAGCCUAACUUCAGUUCCUCCCACUACUUUCAGCCUCACCUUCAAGAUGGAGUCUGCACGCAAGGAUAGGGAGAAUUCUCCAAAUGUAAGGGAAAAGGGGUCUCCAGUAACUUCCACAGCACCUCCAAUUGCAACUGGAGUCAGCAGUAGUGCCAGUGCACCAAGCACUGCUAAUUAUAAUUCGUUCUCAAGUGCAUCGAUGCCCCAGAUUCCUGUUGCUUCAGUCACUCCUACAACAUCACUAUCAGGAGCUGGUACGUACACUACCUCUUCUUUGAGCACAAAAUCUACAACCACAUCAGACCCUCCAAAUAUUUGUAAAGUGAAACCUCAGCAGUUGCAGACAAGCAGCCUGCCUUCUGCAAGUCAUUUUUCACAGUUAAGCUGUAUGCCUUCCCUUAUUGCCCAGCAACAACAGAGUCUGCAAGUUUAUGUGUCUCAGUCUGCAGCAGCUCAAAUCCCAGCCUUCUAUAUGGACACAAGUCAUUUAUUUAAUACCCAGCAUGCACGAUUGGCUCCACCAUCCUUGGCUCAACAACAGGGUUUCCAACCAGGUCUCUCUCAGCCAACUUCAGUUCAGCAGAUUCCAAUCCCUAUUUAUGCACCACUGCAAGGGCAGCAUCAAGCCCAACUGAGUUUGGGGGCUGGACCUGCUGUUUCCCAGGCUCAGGAAUUGUUCAGCUCUUCACUUCAACCAUAUAGAUCUCAGCCAGCUUUUAUGCAAAGCAGUUUAUCCCAGCCAUCUGUGGUCCUUUCUGGGACUGCUAUUCACAACUUUCCAACUGUCCAACACCAAGAACUUGCCAAGGCACAAUCUGGUCUUGCCUUUCAGCAAACAUCAAAUACCCAGCCUAUUCCCAUAUUGUAUGAACAUCAACUGGGGCAGGCAUCAGGACUAGGAGGUUCCCAGCUGAUUGACACACAUCUUCUCCAGGCUAGAGCAAAUCUUACCCAGGCUUCAAAUCUUUAUUCUGGACAAGUACAACAGCCUGGUCAGACAAAUUUUUAUAACACUGCCCAGUCACCAAGUGCUCUCCAGCAGGUUACAGUACCUUUACCAGGAUCCCAGCUUUCCUUGCCUAAUUUUGGAUCUACAGGGCAACCUCUAAUUGCUUUGCCUCAGACUCUUCAGUCCCCGUUACAGCAUACCACUCCCCAAGCACAGGCUCAGAGUCUGAGUCGUCCUGCACAAGUAAGCCAGCCUUUCAGAGGAUUAAUUCCUGCUGGAACACAGCAUAGCAUGAUUGCAACCACAGGAAAAAUGUCUGAAAUGGAACUAAAAGCCUUUGGAAGUGGCAUUGAUAUAAAACCAGGCACACCUCCAAUCGCUGGUAGAAGCACCACACCAACAUCUAGUCCCUUCCGGGCUACUUCUACAAGUCCGAACAGCCAGUCCAGCAAAAUGAACAGUAUUGUCUACCAGAAGCAGUUCCAGUCAGCCCCUGCCACUGUGAGAAUGACACAACCGUUUCCUACACAGUUUGCACCCCAGAAGAGACAGAGAGCAGAGGUUCUUCAGUCCACGCAACGGUUCUUCUCUGAACAGCAACAGAGCAGAUAGGAGGCAAAGCCCAGAAAGUGGACAGUGAUUCAAGUAAACCUCCUGAAACACUGACCGACCCUCCUGGUGUCUGUCAGGAAAAAGUAGAAGAAAAGCCACCCCCUGCACCCUCCAUAGCCACCAAACCUGUUAGAACUGGACCAAUCAAACCUCAGGCAAUCAAAACCGAAGAAACAAAAUCUUAAAGGCUAUGGUUUAUUGCAG